rnacentral:lncRNA from 1 species
ACAACCAUUAGAUCCCAGCAGUGAAAGCCUUUGCGAAUACAUAUAACGGUACUCUUAAAAGUGAGUUUUACUCCACAAAAGGAAUGAAAUGAGCUCUUGCCAAAUUCUAAUCCUGAUGUAAAAUGAUUAUGGCUUAGUUGUUGUGGAAUUUAUUGCAUGUAACUAAUCAUUUGUAACUAGUUACUUUCCUUCUAUUCUCCAGCCAUUCUUCACCAUAAGAUAUGCUAGCAAGAACCAAUGAAAGAUGCAAUCAUUUUUAGAUAGCAUUCGGAGGGCCUAUAAAGAGUGCACUCCUGCUCUCAAAGAAUUCACAGAAGCAUAAUUCAAUGAACAGACUGGGAAUCUCUGCUGACAUGUCUCACAAUGAUGUAUGGAACAUAUGAAGUGGAGUCUUCAUGCAAAGAUUGGAUCAUAUGGAUUUGGCAGUUCCCAUCCCAACGCUCAUCUUCAUUGGUGGGACAUAAUGGAACUGAAUCCUCCAUUCAUUCUGGAACUGGAUUGUUGCAGUCCAGGUUCAUAUCCUUAAUCCACUUAAACCAGAGAAGGCAAAGCUGCUCCUCAUUAGUUGAAAGGUAGCUGAAGUGGGGAUGGGGUUGCACUCUCU